rnacentral:lncRNA from 1 species
UUGGUUGGGCAUACCUUGCGCUUGUCAUUCAUCCGGUCUUCUUGCUCCAAUCCUAGAAAGGUUAGUGACAAGAAUACCCGAAGGAAUAUUUCUACAAUUAUCUUAUAUGCUCAAUACACAAGGUAAUGUUGCAAGUAAUUAGAAGUUCAUGUUACGAUCUGAUAAGUGCUUGUUUUAGGACACUAAGCUUGUCCUUGGGAAACCAUCAAUUAACUCGACGAGAUCUGCAAUAUUUAUUAUAGACAUAUGCAUCGACCACCGCUCUUUUAAAG